rnacentral:lncRNA from 1 species
GAGAAACGGAUGAGGAGAGAACUCAGCCAUAGAGUAAGGCUCUGGGCUCAGUUCUGAGUGUGCAGUGGAGGGAGAUGGGGACCAGACUGGAGUCUCUGCCAUGAAAAAAGUCCUCAGCUGCCUGACUGGUGGCUUUUGUGAAAACUGUAGUUCUUUAACAGUGGUGGCAACCUUCCUCACUGAGCCCUGUACAAUAUCAGUGCCUGGGUUGUCAACUCGGGCACUUUCCCUGGGUUUGGGAGACUGGAGGGGCACAUCCCUCUGUCUCAUGGGAUGGAGAGUUUGACAUCAUAAAACCCUAUCAGUUUGCCUGUUUGCUCCAUGAAUCCUCUCCAAAUGAUGGUUCUCCCUACCCCCAUCUCCCACUGGUUUCUGCUCCAGCAGACUGACCAGUCAACAGGGCAGCUGGGAGACAGGAAAAACCCAAAUGCCCUAUUUCUUAAUGCCUGUCUCCUUCAAGAGAACCAGGCGAAAGCCACCAAGAGUGACUGGAACUGACCAGCAGUUAGGUCUGUGAAUAGUUGCUAGAGAAGGCAUGGGUUAGCAUCGUAUAGAAACUAUGACCAGUGGUCAUUAGUCGACCCCUGGCAGCAAGACCCCAGAUCUUUGAGGAAGACCUACUUUUGAGAAAAUGAUGACUCUGUCCUGGGAAACUUGGGGUGUCCUGACUGGAUUGGAUGGCAAGAGAAAAGGGGUGGCCAUGAAAUAUUGUAUCUCAAUGUCUGGCAAAGUGGCAGUGUGUAGAUGUCU